AGUUGUGAAAGGAAGGCAGUCCCUGUUGCUUCCGGGACCCGGAAGAACAGGUUCAGCGAAAGGCCUCAUGUGAGCAUCCACUCCUGAUGCCACGAACCUGACGGCCACUGCUGCCUGCACAUUUAUUUUCUGUGCCAGCAACUCUACCUGGCAGGCCCCAGUCCCUGCACCAGCCAAGUGGCCCCACAGCCAGCCAGCAUAUUGCCUGCCACGUCUUAUUCUGAACUUGUGUUUCCUGAAGACGCCAUCCAUCAACAGAACCUAGAUCUCAGGAUAUCUCCAAAUCGUUGAGUUUAGCUCUACGCCAUUGUUAUUUACUGAGGCCGCAUGGGAUUGAAUGCACUGACGGGAAUUAGAACUCAUUACGACUAAGCCAAGAAAUAAUAGUGCAGCCAGCAGUGGGGAAGUGAGGCUGCCGUUCUCGGGAAUCAGGAACAAGAUGUGCCACAAGAGGAAGCACAAGUCAUAAGCCGCUAAUUCAGCCCGGGCAACAACCAGGCGCCACAGGUACUCUCGUGGUAACCCUCUCAAGAAGAUGACGGUGGACCCUCAAUCCCAGCACUCAGCAGGCAGAGGCGGGAGAAUUGCCGCAAGUUCCAAGCCAGCCUGAUGAAUGUAGUUCCAGGCCAGACAGGGCUAAAGAGUCCUGAGUUCAAUUCCCAGCAACCGCAUGGUGGCUC